AGAAACAAACGGGACAACGUGAGAAACUAUUAUACAAGUGUCACAUAUGAAACAGUGUAGUUUCAUUUAUUCGUUGGACGUUCACGAGACACGUUUUCGAUUUUUAAUAAUCUAUUUCUGGAGAAAUUAUAGGUAAGGGAGGAAUUCUACGUCUAUCAUUAGCAGUAGUAACGGGCAAAGCAAAUACAAAAGGAUACUAAUUGGUACUAGGAAACAUAUUUAUUAUCGAGUUUUAUUAUUGUACAUGUUGCUCUUAUGCGAUUAACGAGGAUGCCGUACGGCAGAAAGUGCGCAAAAACGUUUUACGAGCAGUAAAAUAAUUCCAUGCCUUGAUAAUCACGAUCACAGACGCAGCGCGAUGAUUAAGAUAAUCAAAUAAUUCCUCUCUGUUGACUAAAUUUCUCGUGUGAAAUUGAUUAAUAUAUUUGAUCUCUGUUGCUCGAAUUUUUAUUUAUAUAUCCUAUAUAUAUGUAUUUUUAUUCGUUUCUAUUCCUCAUACUUUUAUCUAUGUUCUUAAUUUUCGGGUUAUAAAUUCACAUUGCAAAUUAUCAUUUACUGAUUAAUUAUCGCGCUCGAGGAUCGGUGACCACGAUGAAAGUACAGUGUCUACGCGAUGUUACUUCUGUAUUAACGUAGCUUUUGUACAGAUUAUUAUCGGCAUUUUCGACUUGACGUCCGAUGAGAACCACAGCGAAUACAGAACUCAACAAAUAAAACAUUCGUAUAAAUAAAUAAAUAAAUAAAUAAGGUGAGCAUGUUUUUUUUCGAUUUUUCCAUUUCCUAACUUUCGUUCGGAACCAUCGGUGAACCGUUCGAAAGGGGAGAAAAAGAACAAGAAUUCUCGAUGUGUUUCUUUUUUACUCCUUUUUUUUCGAUUUUUCUUCUGCUAUCGUUUAUUUUAUUUUAUAUACUUUUUUUGUGAUUUUGAUAUUGUUUAGUGCUGGCUCGUGCGGCCCAGUAAGCGAUUAAAGCGAUUAGUGAUAGCUGGCGUAACAAGAAACGCACGUGUUCCUCGACGUUUUACUGUUGAGGAAUAUUUCAAAGAAGGUAUGUUUAUGUCGCAGCCACGAUCAUGGUAGCACUAAGGAUAAGAACAGCAUCGUGUAUCGAUGUACUAUUAGGUAUAUGAAAGCCACAGGUGAAAAACAUGACAAGUUAAACCCUUAAACAAUUAUUCUUUUAUCGAAGAACGAUCGUAAAAUUCAAUAUGUUAUCAGUCAAUAAAAGAUCUCCAGAAAUAAACUUAUCAUGCUUUUCCCGCGUGAUUUCCAUAUGUUUUAUGAUAUGAUAAUAAAAUUUAUGAUACUUAUGUACAAACUCGAGAUAUCGUAUCACGCGUGUAUGUACCAGUGUAUAUUAUAAAAAAGAAAAGGAACGAGAAUGAAAGGAAAAUAGGGGAUGCGACCCCAGAAAAGAAAAAGAAAAAUCACGAAUAUUUUGUAAAUUCGAUUGGCAGACCCUAGCUGCGUAGGUUCGCUCUGAAAUGAGACUAAGAAAAAUCGAAUGGUGGAUCAAGCAGUCGUUUAUUCCAGAUCAAUAUACGAUUGUCAUGAUCAUCAAGUUGCUACAAACCUAUGUCGCUCGCGUUGCACUUGACAUAAACAUACUCUUGAGAGAUCUGCUGAUUGAUUAAGGAAUUAUAUAAUUAAGAAUAAUUCGUUUUAAUCCUGGAAUCGAACCACGACGCCUUCAAAAGAGAUUGUGCGAUGAAUCUUCAUCCAUCAAUGUCAAUCAUGAAAGGAUUAAAUGAAGACUGAACGAUAAUUGCAUUAGCGACAAUAUUAAUUAAUAAUCGCUAUAGCGUCUUCAGGUUCCAGGAUUAAAACCAACGAGAGAAGAUAAUAAACGAAACGAGAAAGUGUUCGUCGCUACAACCUAUACCGCGAGAUCUAGGUAGAACACUACGAAACGUUCGGCAAGAGCGAACAGCCACAUCUUCCAUUCGAUCGUCGACGAUCGUUCGUUCGAUCGAUCGUUUCGCGACCAAGAAAAAAGAAGUCCUACCCCGUUCUUCCGCGAGCGUUACCGAUCAAAAAUGCAAUGGGACAGCGGUAUCGUGUCGUCGCGACGAUAUAACAAUAGAACAAUGAUACGCAAGACUAAUUUAUGGCAGGACGAUCGAAGUGUAUGGCCGGUUUCGGCCAUUAUUUGAUUAGAACGCAUUCUUUGAUUCACGCGCACGCGGGCAUCGAGAUUUUCUCUGUUCGCGCGAGAAAUGCAUGUGGAUUUCUUAUUUAUAUAUGUAUAUUAUAUAUACACAUAAAUCCUUCCUUCUUUCUUUUUAAAAAUCGACUACUAAAAAUCGCCUCGUAGACUGAACAAGUCUUAUGUUUCUCGAGAAGCGUGUGCGCUUUGUUGUUGUGUUUUUUGAUAUGAUUUAAGAACGCUUAUUAUCAAGAAUUGUGCGUGACGAUGAUGUUGUUCGAGUUCGCUGAUUUAUAUUCGCAGUUCUUUUUCCUUUCGUUUUUACGAAAAGUUUAGUUACGAAAAAUUUACACGUGAGUGUUUGGCUAUAUCUUUUUGUGAAAAAUAUAGGAGGGUGUCUCGGGGAUUACAGAUAUGUUAAAUGAGGGUAAGGGCGCAUGAUUUUUUCGAUGAUCGAUGCCGAUUUAUAGACCGAUUAUGCGACGAGAUUUUAAAAUAUUUUGUUCGCGACGAUGAGCGUAGGGGAGACAGAUGAUUACGUCGAUGAUGAUGAUACUUCGAUAUAUCGAUGACGAAUCAAAAUGACGAUAAACAUGUUUCAGGAACAAGUUUGUUCAACGAACGAAACAUUCGUAUCUUUUUUUACAAUCUAUAUUUCUUCAUCCGUAUC